ncrna:unclassified sequences Clostridiales-3 RNA
AAGAGAGUUGAUGGACCGAAGGGUGAAAAUGUAGCAUGCAGAGUAGAUUUAAUGUACUCGGAAGGAUAAUAAACCACAAGGGAAGAGAGUAAUUCCCUAUCCUCGAAAUGGCAUAAGAGGGGAUAGCAGAACCGAAAGGCGAAGCGUCGUGAACGCCACGGGGCGGCUCGUUUGUAAUUCCCAGUGUACAGGGCGAUGAGGAGAUUUCAACUGAAAUCAUGUACACAUACA